rnacentral:rRNA from 1 species
UACGUAGGGUGCAAGCGUUGUCCGGAAUUAUUGGGCGUAAAGAGCUUGUAGGCGGUUUGUCGCGUCUGCUGUGAAAUUUUGGGGCUCAACCCCGAACUUGCAGUGGGUACGGGCAGACUAGAGUGUGGUAGGGGAGACUGGAAUUCCUGGUGUAGCGGUGAAAUGCGCAGAUAUCAGGAGGAACACCGAUGGCGAAGGCAGGUCUCUGGGCCAUAACUGACGCUGAGAAGCGAAAGCAUGGGGAGCG